rnacentral:tRNA from 1 species
GGAGAGAUGGCCGAGUGGUUGAAAGGCGUAGCAUUGGAACUGCUAUGUAGACUUGUGUUUACCGAGGGUUCGAAUCCCUC